rnacentral:rRNA from 1 species
CCUACGGGUGGCAGCAGUGGGGAAUAUUGCGCAAUGGGGGCAACCCUGACGCAGCCAUGCCGCGUGAAUGAAGAAGGCCUUCGGGUUGUAAAGUUCUUUCGGUAUUGAGGAAGGUUGUUGUGUUAAUAGCACGACAAAUUGACGUUAAAUACAGAAGAAGCACCGGCUAACUCCGUGCCAGCAGCCGCGGUAAUACGGAGGGUGCGAGCGUUAAUCGGAAUAACUGGGCGUAAAGGGCACGCAGGCGGACUUUUAAGUGAGGUGUGAAAUCCCCGGGCUUAACCUGGGAAUUGCAUUUCAGACUGGGAGUCUAGAGUACUUUAGGGAGGGGUAGAAUUCCACGUGUAGCGGUGAAAUGCGUAGAGAUGUGGAGGAAUACCGAAGGCGAAGGCAGCCCCUUGGGAAUGUACUGACGCUCAUGUGCGAAAGCGUGGGGAGCAAACAGGAUUAGAUACCCCAGUAGUC